CAAGUCGAGCGGAGUGAUGGUGCUUGCACUAUCACUUAGCGGCGGACGGGUGAGUAAUGCUUAGGAAUCUGCCUAUUAGUGGGGGACAACAUUUCGAAAGGAAUGCUAAUACCGCAUACGUCCUACGGGAGAAAGCAGGGGAUCUUCGGACCUUGCGCUAAUAGAUGAGCCUAAGUCGGAUUAGCUAGUUGGUGGGGUAAAGGCCUACCAAGGCGACGAUCUGUAGCGGGUCUGAGAGGAUGAUCCGCCACACUGGGACUGAGACACGGCCCAGACUCCUACGGGAGGCAGCAGUGGGGAAUAUUGGACAAUGGGCGCAAGCCUGAUCCAGCCAUGCCGCGUGUGUGAAGAAGGCCUUAUGGUUGUAAAGCACUUUAAGCGAGGAGGAGGCUACUGAAGUUAAUACCUUCAGAUAGUGGACGUUACUCGCAGAAUAAGCACCGGCUAACUCUGUGCCAGCAGCCGCGGUAAUACAGAGGGUGCAAGCGUUAAUCGGAUUUACUGGGCGUAAAGCGCGCGUAGGCGGCUAAUUAAGUCAAAUGUGAAAUCCCCGAGCUUAACUUGGGAAUUGCAUUCGAUACUGGUUAGCUAGAGUGUGGGAGAGGAUGGUAGAAUUCCAGGUGUAGCGGUGAAAUGCGUAGAGAUCUGGAGGAAUACCGAUGGCGAAAGGCAGCCAUC
rnacentral:rRNA from 1 species